GGGCCCCUCCCCUCAUUGUCUUCGUUAUUUCAGGACUCCAUUUAGAGGUAGGAUUGGCCUGCUACCAUCACCUGUAAAUUCGGAACUGCUCCUUCUCAUCUGAGGACCAGAAUCCAUAUUCCUCAUCAGAAGGGAAUUGGGCCUUGUGCAGAAGCACAUCCACCAGCUGGAAGUAGACUGGCCGGUAUACCUGCUGGUACACAGCCUGCUUCUCUGCCUCAAAGGACAGAAUGUCAUCCUGAGAGAGCCGGGGAAGAAAGUUAGCCACCUCAGCACCAGGCCCAGAAGCCCAUGAUCUACCUUCUGUCAUUACAGCCCAGUCCUACUAGAGGGUCACGUAGACACACCUGCAGCGUGUACCAGAAGCUUUCAUGCUGCCCAUUUUGGGAAGAGCCUUCGGUCAGAGACUUCCAGGAGAACUCUGAGAAGGAAGUAUGAGACAGAGACUUACAGGAAGAACGACAUGUGAUGGCAAAGGCAGAGACUGGAACCAUGCAACUUAAAGCCAAGGAACACCAGAGAUUGCCAGCAAAGAACCAGAAGCUAAGAAGAGAUGAGGAAGGACUCUCCUACAGGUUUUCAGAGGAAGCCGACACCUUGAUUUUGGACUUCUAGCCUCUCCAACAAUUGAGACAAUAAAUUUCUGUUGUUUAAAGCUG